AAAUUAUUUUGGUCCAAUUUGAUGUUUUUUCUUCAUUUUCUUUUCUUUUCCUGAAGAGUGUAUUCCCAUGUAUUAAAUUUCUGACAUUGUUCAGAAUGUUUCUCUUUUUUAAAGUCAUGCUAUUUCAUUGACAGUGGUGAAAGUUUUCAAAGAAUGUGGCAAAUUUGGAAACUAAGAAUCCAUAAAACUAGCAAGAUUUAAAGGAGUCAUUUGAGAAAUUUAGAGACAUCACAAACAUGUUAGAGGUUAUUUGUUAGUAUGGUUUAUAAGCACUGCUUGCUGUUUGCCAGUAUUGUACAGGGAAAACUGAGGUUUGAAUCAAUAAAUCACAAUUGAGAAUUGUUGAAGACAGCAUUUUCAGAGUGUUGAAAGCCAGGCUGAGGCUGAAAUUUGACUAACCCAAAUAACCACAUUUUUCUAUUUUAAUAUUUCUGAAAUGGUUUUAGGAAACAAAGUACAUCCCUGUACGUUCCUGAUUGUCAUGUUAUACUUUCCUACUAGAUCUCUGUGCAGCUGAUCAAUCAAGCAAACUCGACACGUUCUACUAUGAGAAUAUAGAUGGUGUCCCACGCUAUGGAAUAUUCCAGCUAAGUGGCCUUGAGUGGUGUGAUAACGGGAGGCACUCCUCCCAGAACAAAUGCCACACACACUGUGACAACUUCCUAGAUGAUAAUAUCACAGAUGAUGUUCUAUGUGUCAAGACAAUUGUCAACAGUACGGAGGACAUGAGUGCUUGGCCACUCUAUGGAAAAUACUGUGAUGAAGGUCGGGUAAUUCGUUAUUAUAUCAAGUGUCUUUUUGGUGGAGUUACACAAAGAAGAAAGUAUUUGCUUCGGAACCUGCCUUGACUUUUAUAGAGAGUCGCAUUGUCUCAGGUUUGGUCUGACAAUGUGCUUCACUUCAGAGCCUCACCUGUUCUCAUUUUCUGAAGCUUUGGAUCCCCUGCCCUGCCCCCAUGAAACAAUGGGAAACAAACAAACACCAAUCUCAUCUUUAAUUUUUGUCAGACAAGGAUGAAAUUUGCAGCCCCCCCCCCAAAAAAGUAGGAGAAACCAACCAAUGCUUAUAGUGGCUUUUGUGUUUGUAGAACUGGAUGAAAUUUGCAGCAGAUGUAGCCCCUUUUUAAGGAAUGGAGGUGUUAUAAGAAUUUCAAGGUCAUACUAUAUAUAUAUAGUAUAUAUGGACCAAAUAUAUGGACCAAAACUCCUGAAACCAUUUUAUCUCCCAAAAUGACCUCAAAUAUUUCUCUGCAAGGUCGAAGGAAAUGGGAAAUCUCCCCAUUGUCUCUUUGCUCACAAAUCCUGUCUUAAGGGCACAUAUAAGAUAUGAAUAGGGCGAGCCUGUGACCUGGACUCAGGAACUGAGUAUUUACCAUUACAAAGGAAUCGCCAGACUGCCAAAAUAAUGUAAUCAGUUAUCAUUCUCAGGUAACCUGGAAGACAGGUUUUCUGCUGUAGACCGCCUCUUCUGUGAUGGGCUCCAGGCCAGGCUAUUUAAAAUGUCUAUAUAAGGGCUUGCACACCUUUGUCCUGGGUCCCUCCCCCCUCCUGUGUGUGUGUGAGCACCCUGUUGCAACAGCUUUAAUAAAGAUCAGGCUUAUUGUCACUUUGCUUUUGUAUAUCCUGGUCUGAUCUCUGUUCAAUUCCUGACCGGUUUGAGCCUUAAAAGGUAUGCUCUCUCUGAAGAUCCAGUCUUCCUUAAGAAGCUGAACCCCUUGAAGGGACCCCAUUUUUAUUCUUAUUUCAAUUGGCGAGCCAGGCAGGAGUAUCGGUUUUACCGGGAAUUGGAGGAGCUGAGGAUCGGUAAGCCCAGUGCGCACCCAGCCUCUUGCAGGGGGGGAUACUGUUCCCCAGCAGACCCAGUUCCUGGCUCUAACUGGGAUUCUCCGCAGACCAACCAGAAAAAGCAACGCUGAUCCAGCCGGCUUAGGGGUUUUUGUUACCUUGCCCCUGACCGAUCCCUCGGAGUUUGUCCAGAUCGGGUCAUUUUUUUCAUCAGGAUCCCGAAAGGAAAGGACAGCGAGCUCACGAAGUGAGCAUAACGGGAAAACAUGGGUUAGUGGGUGGGCUCCUUCAACCACAGCAACCAAAAACUCUUUUCUAUCCUCCCCGACUCAAUCCCUCAAAGUCUGCCCAGAGAGGGUCGUGGGGUUUUCCUUUUCUUCCUUCACCCUUACCCUCCGACCUUUUCCUUCAGAGUUUGCCCAGAAAGAGAUGCGAGUGUUUCUAUCCUUCUUAAAAUGUCACUCCUCGACCCGAUCCCUCAGAGUUUGCCCAGAGAGGGUCAUGUGAGCUCUAUCACUAUUUACUCCCUUUACCUUUUCCUAAACCUUAUCAAACGUAGCUGCCCCUCCUUCAUGGUGACCCUUGUUGGGGAGGACCUGUGAAUGUGAGAACGCAAGGAUGUUUGUACCUCUUUAAAACCUCUUUGGUUCUGGGUCCUGAUCUGGCAUUGUGCUGUGCAAGCGUUCAGUAAGGAUUCCGAGCCUAGAUUGUGGUGAUAGGCAGGAGGUUGCUGUGGGCUCCCUGGUAGUCUAGUUGCACUGUUUGCUUAGGAAGGCCAAGUAAGUAGCCUAGUAAGUCAGGCCAGACGAACGGCGGUACCAAUCCCUCAGAGUUUGUCCAGAUUGAGUCUACUGUGGGUUAUUUAUUGUGUUUCCCGGAAAAGUGGGGAUAAAACCCCGACUGCAGUAUAAAAGCAAAGUCCAGGGCUAUUAAAAUUCUUUAAAUGGGUGCACCUCAAUCAAAAGAAAUGAACCUGCGGACUCCUGAUGGGAAAGAUGCCCAGUUAGAGCUUACUUCCCACCGAGACUCUGACAGCCCCCUUCAAUUUGUGCUUAAAAAAUGUUUUUCAUGUGUUUUAAAUUGGCCUUAGAGGUAACAUCCAGCAACUGCUUAUCUUAAAUGUGGAGUCUAAAAAAUGCAAGCUUGCGUCAAAAAAAAAAAAUUGUGUGAGGGAGCUAUGUUUUUAGUCUGAUCAACUCAAACAUAGCAAAUAUUGAGGAAUGUGUGUACCUACCCUUUUUCUACAGUAAGGGGGCAGGGUGAAAGAAACAAGAGAGUUGUAACUUUGAAAAUGUUUUGCUUGAAACUUUGAAAAUGCUUUGAAAGUUUGAAAAUGUUUGGCUUUGUAAACUCCACCCAUAAUAACAGAGGUCAUCAAAUUUCAUAGAAAUAUGUAAAGCAGUUAUGAAUAAAGAAACAGUAUUUUGAGGCUUUAAAAAAGCAACUGUAUAUAAUUUUCUGCUCAGUGUACACCAAAAUCGCAGUUCAUACAAAGCUGAUUCUGAUGGAGGUCAAUGUGGGCAGAGGACUCAGAACAACCAUUCACUUGGAAUGCUGUUUGGUAUGCAAGUUCAUCUGUGUUCUUUAUGGUGUGUGUUGUGUGACUGUCAGCACAAUCUUAGGCUCCACCAGCACUAUACCUUAUCAUGUCACUUUGAACAGCCAUGGCUUCCCUCAAAGAAACUUGGGAACUGUUGGUUGUUAAGCAUGCUGAGAGAGGUUAGGAGGCCUCUAGUCCUUCACAGUUCUCAGAGUGGAUAAACAAAUUAUUCAAUAACCCAGGGAAUUGUUAUUUCCAAAGCUUUAUUCCAGCAUUCACUGUGGCCAAACACAGAUCAGGUUA